CUCCGGCCGUUGCCGGAGCCGGAGGUCUCCUCUCCGGCCGUUGCCGGAGCCGGAGGUCUCCUCUUUCCCUUAUUCUCCUUUUUCCUUUGCUCUUUUCCUCCCUGUUCUCUUCUAGAUCGACAUACUUGCAGUUCUGGAUUUGUUUGAGACUUAACCAAAGAUGCGAUUAGUCUUGACGGCUCUUGGUUUCUGACUUCUCUGGAGCAGCGGUGAGAUCGGUGAGGCUAUGGGUGAGGAGAGAGUCGGCUUUUAGAGUUGAGGGAAGAACCAUAUCUUGUUUUUCAUUUUCAGAUCUACGGUGACUCCCUCACGGCGAUGGCGCGUGGACCGGUAAGACGUCUCCUCCACUUUAGUUCUCUUUCCUGACGCGGCGGCGGAGAGAUUCUCCGAGAAAACGAUUGAAGUUGAUUGAGAAGCGUUAGAUGUGAGAACUCGUUACUUUGGAGGAGUGUUUUAAUCGUGGUGGAUAGUGUUGUCUCCUCCGGUUCUCAGAGACUCGCCACAAAGACUCACGCUGUUGGAGUCGACAGUCAGAGGAGUGAGCUUUGCUGGUGGUCGUGGUGAAGCUCAGCAUCCCAGCACUGGCGACAAUUCCAUUUCAGUCCGUUCAAAAUGGGUUUUGCGUGGAAUCUGUGGAUACAUGGUGUGCACCUUUUGCAUUCGUAUUGCAUGACCAAUGGGUUGGCUUGGAUUGGAAAUCUUUGGCUAGUGAGUGUUGUUGUUGGUUCUCUUUUGAUUAGAGUGUUGGGGUCUGGCAGCCGUUAUGACAAUUUCAGUUGCAGAAUUCUCUUUCAGUUGGCGAUUCUGUGAUUUCUCCUUGAUGUGAUCUGUUCUCGAAUGCAUUUGUUAUGAGAAUGAAUCGACGAGGCUUGUUUGUGUGAAGGUGUUUGGGAGGCUUCUAUCUAGGUGUUAAGUGACGUCAGAGAGUGCGUUCAAACCGUAUCCGAAAGUUGAUUGGAUCGUGAAGCGGUCUUGCUUGUCGGGUUGUGAAGUCUUGGUUAUUGGUUACUAGUGGGAUCGUAUCGUUCGGCAGGCUAUAGGCGGCGGCGAUAGAUCUGAGUUGAGAAGACUGAGAGUCUUCGGGUUUUAAAGCGGAUGGAAUCGUCGGUUGGCCGAGGGCAGCUUCGAUCUGUCCAGAUCACUGCAAUUGCUAUAUUGGGAGGGAGGUCAUGUGCACUGAAAUGUUAUAGGUUUGUCGGUAGAUGUUUUCGUUUGUGGUAUUCGAGGUUUGGGUGAUAGGUUUUUACCCGUAGUUGUUUUGAGUCUGUAAGCUGCUCCGUUGUGGGCUCAAGCUGCCCCGUUGUGGGUUCAAGUUGCCUUUCCUUUGAGCUUUAGUUUCUAGGGAGUUCAUGAUAUCUGCGAGCUUUUGUAACAAACUUGAAGUAUUUCACCAUGAAUGAAUAUUUUUCAGACGGAAAAAA